CCCUCCAUGGUAGAUCGGCAUUACAGUAAACUUCGAAUUUAUCAAGCUCGGUUCGACUCCGAAUCCUUAGA
rnacentral:tRNA from 1 species